AGAACGAACGCUGGCGGCAUGCCUAAUACAUGCAAGUCGAACGAACUCUUCGGAGUUAGUGGCGCACGGGUGCGUAACGCGUGGGAAUCUGCCCUUGGGUUCGGAAUAACAGUUGGAAACGACUGCUAAUACCGGAUGAUGACGAAAGUCCAAAGAUUUAUCGCCCAGGGAUGAGCCCGCGUAGGAUUAGCUAGUUGGUGAGGUAAAGGCUCACCAAGGCGACGAUCCUUAGCUGGUCUGAGAGGAUGAUCAGCCACACUGGGACUGAGACACGGCCCAGACUCCUACGGGAGGCAGCAGUAGGGAAUAUUGGACAAUGGGCAAAGGCCUGAUCCAGCAAUGACCGCGUGAGUGAUGAAGGCCUUAGGUUGUAAAGCUCUUUUUACCCGAGAUGAUAAUAGACAGGUAUACGGGAGAAUAAGACCCCGGACUAACUCCGUAGCCACCAGACCGC
rnacentral:rRNA from 1 species